GUUUGAUCCUGGCUCAGGAUGAACGCUAGCGGCAGGCUUAAUACAUGCAAGUCCAGGGCCUAGCAAUAGGACCGGCGAACGGGUGCGUAACGCGUAUGCAACCUACCUAUAUCAGGGGGAUAGCCCUAGGAAACUGGGAUUAAUACCGCAUAACAUAAGACUUGGCAUCGAGUUUUAUUAAAAGAUUUAUUGGAUAUAGAUGGGCAUGCGUAGGAUUAGCUAGUUGGUAAGGUAACGGCUUACCAAGGCUACGAUCCUUAGGGGCUCUGAGAGGAGUAACCCCCACACUGGCACUGAGAUACGGGCCAGACUCCUACGGGAGGCAGCAGUAGGGAAUAUUGGGCAAUGGAGGCAACUCUGACCCAGCCAUGCCGCGUGCAGGAAGACGGUCCUCUGGAUUGUAAACUGCUUUUGAAUGGGAAGAAUGUGUGGCUUGCGAGCUAUAAUGACGGUACCAUUAGAAUAAGCCACGGCUAACUACGUGCCAGCAGCCGCGGUAAUACGUAGGUGGCGAGCGUUAUCCGGAUUUAUUGGGUUUAAAGGGUGCGUAGGCGGCUUUAUAAGUCUGUGGUUAAAGGUAGCAGCUUAACUGUUUUACAUGCCAUAGAUACUGUAGAGCUUGAGUUAUUUGGAGGCAGCUAGAAUUUCCGGUGUAGCGGUGAAAUGCAUAGAUACCGGAAGGAAUACCGAUUGCGAAGGCAGGUUGCUACGAAUAAACUGACGCUGAUGCACGAAAGCGUGGGGAUCAAACAGGAUUAGAUACCCUGGUAGUCCACGCCCUAAACGAUGUCUACUAGUUGUCGGGUCUUAAUUGACUUGGUAACGCAGCUAACGCGUGAAGUAGACCGCCUGGGGAGUACGGUCGCAAGAUUAAAACUCAAAGGAAUUGACGGGGACCCGCACAAGCGGUGGAUGAUGUGGUUUAAUUCGAUGCAACGCGAAAAACCUUACCCACCUUUGACAUGUACGGAAGAUUUAAGAGAUUAGAUUGUGCUCGAAAGAGAGCCGUAACACAGGUGCUGCAUGGCUGUCGUCAGCUCGUGUCGUGAGAUGUUGGGUUAAGUCCCGCAACGAGCGCAACCCUUGUCAUUAGUUGCCAGCAUUAAGUUGGGCACUCUAAUGA
rnacentral:rRNA from 1 species